GAUGAACGCUGGCGGCGUGCCUAAUACAUGCAAGUCGAGCGAACGGACGAGAAGCUUGCUUCUCUGAUGUUAGCGGCGGACGGGUGAGUAACACGUGGAUAACCUACCUAUAAGACUGGGAUAACUUCGGGAAACCGGAGCUAAUACCGGAUAAUAUUUUGAACCGCAUGGUUCAAAAGUGAAAGACGGUCUUGCUGUCACUUAUAGAUGGAUCCGCGCUGCAUUAGCUAGUUGGUAAGGUAACGGCUUACCUAGGCAACGAUGCAUAGCCGACCUGAGAGGGUGAUCGGCCACACUGGAACUGAGACACGGUCCAGACUCCUACGGGAGGCAGCAGUAGGGAAUCUUCCGCAAUGGGCGAAAGCCUGACGGAGCAACGCCGCGUGAGUGAUGAAGGUCUUCGGAUCGUAAAACUCUGUUAUUAGGGAAGAACAUAUGUGUAAGUAACUGUGCACAUCUUGACGGUACCUAAUCAGAAAGCCACGGCUAACUACGUGCCAGCAGCCGCGGUAAUACGUAGGUGGCAAGCGUUAUCCGGAAUUAUUGGGCGUAAAGCGCGCGUAGGCGGUUUUUUAAGUCUGAUGUGAAAGCCCACGGCUCAACCGUGGAGGGUCAUUGGAAACUGGAAAACUUGAGUGCAGAAGAGGGAAGUGGAAUUCCAUGUGUAGCGGUGAAAUGCGCAGAGAUAUGGAGGAACACCAGUGGCGAAGGCGACUUUCUGGUCUGUAACUGACGCUGAUGUGCGAAAGCGUGGGGAUCAAACAGGAUUAGAUACCCUGGUAGCCCACGCCGUAAACGAUGAGUGCUAAGUGUUAGGGGGUUUCCGCCCCUUAGUGCUGCAGCUAACGCAUUAAGCACUCCGCCUGGGGAGUACGACCGCAAGGUUGAAACUCAAAGGAAUUGACGGGGACCCGCACAGGCGGUGGAGCAUGUGGUUUAAUUCGAAGCAACGCGAAGAACCUUACCAAAUCUUGACAUCCUUUGACAACUCUAGAGAUAGAGCCUUCCCCUUCGGGGGACAAAGUGACAGGUGGUGCAUGGUUGUCGUCAGCUCGUGUCGUGAGAUGUUGGGUUAAGUCCCGCAACGAGCGCAACCCUUAAGCUUAGUUGCCAUCAUUAAGUUGGGCACUCUAAGUUGACUGCCGGUGACAAACCGGAGGAAGGUGGGGAUGACGUCAAAUCAUCAUGCCCCUUAUGAUUUGGGCUACACACGUGCUACAAUGGACAAUACAAAGGGCAGCGAAACCGCGAGGUCAAGCAAAUCCCAUAAAGUUGUUCUCAGUUCGGAUUGUAGUCUGCAACUCGACUACAUGAAGCUGGAAUCGCUAGUAAUCGUAGAUCAGCAUGCUACGGUGAAUACGUUCCCGGGUCU
rnacentral:rRNA from 1 species